UGGGGAAUUUUGGACAAUGGGCGAAAGCCUGAUCCAGCAAUGCCGCGUGUGUGAAGAAGGCCUUCGGGUUGUAAAGCACUUUUGUCCGGAAAGAAAUCCUUGGCUCUAAUACAGUCGGGGGAUGACGGUACCGGAAGAAUAAGCACCGGCUAACUACGUGCCAGCAGCCGCGGUAAUACGUAGGGUGCAAGCGUUAAUCGGAAUUACUGGGCGUAAAGCGUGCGCAGGCGGUUUGCUAAGACCGAUGUGAAAUCCCCGGGCUCAACCUGGGAACUGCAUUGGUGACUGGCAGGCUAGAGUAUGGCAGAGGGGGGUAGAAUUCCACGUGUAGCAGUGAAAUGCGUAGAGAUGUGGAGGAAUACCGAUGGCGAAGGCAGCCCCCUGGGCCAAAUACUGACGCUCAUGCACGAAAGCGUGGGGAGCAAACAGGAUUAGAUACCCUGGUAGUCCACGCCCUAAAACGAUGUCAACUAGCUGUUGGGGACUUCAUU
rnacentral:rRNA from 1 species